GUCUGUAUGUAGUUAUAUGGAGUCUAACCUGCCCGUUGAAAGAGUUUGAAAGGCCGCGGUAUAUUAACUGUGCAAAGGUAGCAUAAUCAUUAGCUUUUUAAUUGGAGGCUUGUAUGAAGGGUUGGACAAAGAAAAAUCUGUCUUUAAUUUUGAGUUUGAAUUUAACUUUUAAGUGAAAAGGCUUAAAUAUUUUUAAGGGACGAUAAGACCCUAUAAAUCUUUAUAUUAAACUAUUUUAUUAAAAAAUAAUAUUUGUCUAGAUUUAAAUAAAACAUGAAAAUAUUUUGUUGGGGUGACAAGAAUAUAGAAUUAACUGUUCUUUAAUUAAACAGAUUUGUUUGUUUAUUUAGUAGAUCCUUUUUAGAGAUUAAAAGUUUAAGUUACUUUAGGGAUAACAGCGUUAUUUUUUUUGAGAGUUCAUAUCGAAAGAAGAGUUUGCGACCUCGAUGUUGAAUUAAGAUUUCUCUGCGGUGUAGUUGUUGUGGGAGGAAAGUCUGUUCGACUUUUGAAAUUUU
rnacentral:rRNA from 1 species